GGCCCUGCCCUCACGGGCGGAGCGCCCGCCGGAGGAUACCAAACUCUAUUUUAACGACGUUUCUUCUGAGUGGCACAAGCAAAUAAUUAAAACUUUCAACAACGGAUCUCUUGGUUCUGGCAUCGAUGAAGAACGCAGCGAAAUGCGAUAAGUAAUGUGAAUUGCAGAAUUCAGUGAAUCAUCGAAUCUUUGAACGCACAUUGCGCCCGCCAGCAUUCUGGCGGGCAUGCCUGUUCGAGCGUCAUUUCAACCCUCAAGCUCUGCUUGGUGUUGGGGCCCUACGGUUGACGUAGGCCCUUAAAGGUAGUGGCGGACCCUCUCGGAGCCUCCUUUGCGUAGUAACUAACGUCUCGCACUGGGAUUCGGAGGGACUCUUGCCGUAAAACCCCCAAAUUUUUAAAGGUUGACCUCGGAUCAGGUAGGAAUACCCGCUGAACUUAAGCAUA
rnacentral:rRNA from 1 species